AGUGAACGCUGGCGGUAGGCCUAACACAUGCAAGUCGAACGGCAGCACAGUAAGAGCUUGCUCUUACGGUUGGCGAGUGGCGGACGGGUGAGGAAUACAUCGGAAUCUACUUUUUCGUGGGUGAUAACGUAGGGACACUUACGCUAAUACCGCAUACGACCUACGGGUGAAAGCAGGGGAUCUUCGGACCUUGCGCGAUUGAAUGAGCCGAUGUCGGAUUAGCUAGUUGGCGGGGUAAAGGCCCACCAAGGCGACGAUCCGUAGCUGGUCUGAGAGGAUGAUCAGCCACACUGGAACUGAGACACGGUCCAGACUCCUACGGGAGGCAGCAGUGGGGAAUAUUGGACAAUGGGCGCAAGCCUGAUCCAGCCAUACCGCGUGGGUGAAGAAGGCCUUCGGGUUGUAAAGCCCUGUUGUUGGGAAAGAAAAGCAGCAGGUUAAUACCCCGCUGUUCUGACGGUACCCAAAGAAUAAGCACCGGCUAACUUCGUG
rnacentral:rRNA from 1 species